CAAAAGUUAAAUGAGAUAUGCAGGGUUUACCUAAGUCCUGCUGUACAAUUUGGCUUCUGGAUUUUUUCUUCCACCAGAGCAAACGAAAGCAAGUCAUUGCUAGAGUAUGGGAUUUGCUUCUUAGAAGCUUCAGAUAUGUGUUCAGAAGCUCAUGCAAAGAGGAGUUCGAUAAGAACCUGAGGGUAAAGAAGAAUAGCCAAAUAAAUUAUUGGGAAUGGUUCCUGAAUGCUCCUGUUUUCCUUCCAGAAUGGUGCUUCCUCAAGCCUGACUUUAAUUGCAGUUUGACAUGCUGGUUUUUCCCAUUGACAAUUCAAUGAUCGAGACAAUAUAUAGGUUGAAAAAGAGGAUGAGAAGAGCCACCCAACCUCAUCUGAAAAGGCCACAGAAAUUAACAAGGUGAUAAAAUUCGGAUAUCUUUGAGCAGAAAUGACACAAGUGCCCUGUGAUUAUAAUUGCCUUGCGAAGACGAGAGAGGAUGAUUUGUGUGGCUUGUAAUAAACAAAUGCACACGAGGGAGACAUAACAAAUGAGGGCAUUUGGGUAAUUAUCAUCAUUACAUUGCAUAACUUGCCUACAUUUAUAAACAUAAUUUAAAAAAAUGCUUACUGUACAUUAUUCACUUGAAAAGGAUAAAGUCGGUAUUCUAGUGACUAGUACACUUUAGAUUCAGUGGUUGUAGUACUUGUGCUUUAUUUACCAGCAUUGUUUGUUUUUAUCGUAUGCAAGGCACGGAAAUCCAGUUUUUCCUCCAAAGUAAAAGGAAGAAAACCCAUGUCUGCUUUAUGUUUACAGAAUUUUCUUGUGAAAUGUCUACUUUCGCGCCUCAGUAGUCAUAUAAUUUUGUCAGCAUCAGUCAGGUGUGACGUUGACUGUUUUGGAGAUAACUGUAAUGUUAAAGUAAGCUCAGACUUUUGGCCUUUCCAGGCUAUCAAGGGGCAACUUAACAACCGCUAAUGAUCUGACAGGUCGACCUAAGAAAUUUUCAACAAUUUUCCGUUGUACAAAAAACACAACGGGAUCAGCCAUUGACCACAUCCGCUGGUAGAUCAAGUUAUCUUUAGUUCGCUCCCCGGCUCAUUUAUAUUAUUGCACUGUUGGUCAAAAUUGUAGUUGUGACCAUCAUGUUACAUUUUUUGUCAACAUAGACUUUUUGAAUUCUGUUACCACUGAAGUUGAUAAAUUCAAGAAGCUGAUUAACUUUAUUUCCGAUAUAUAUGUACAGGUCAAGUACAUAUUAUUGCACCGUCGGUCAAUAUUGUGAGCUGCGACCAUCAUGGCAACUUUCUUUUUUGUCGGCGGACUUCUGAAUUCUGAUAGAGUUGAUAAAUCCAAGAGGUUCAGUAAGUUUAUUUCAGAUAUAUGUACAGGUGAAGUAGUACAUAUUAUUGCACCGUUGGUCAACAUUGUGAGCGGUGAUCAUCAUGGUAACUUUUUUUUUUCGCCCGCACCGACUUUUGAAUUCUGAUACAGCUUAAGCUGAUAAAUUCAAGAAGUUCAGUCAGUUUAUUUCUGAUAUAUGUACAUGUCAAGUAUAAUUUAUCAUUUCAGAUUUCAAAGACAAGUAGAGAAGUGUGUCCAUCAAAUCAGUCUCUCUGCUAGGCAGGCUGACAGCUGUAUCAACUAGCAGACUUGUCUGGUCAAGGAGUAUCCAUCAGAACGGUUCCUCUCAAGCUUUUGAGUUGAAUUGUCCCAUUCGUUCUCAUGCAAGUCAAGAUACUUGUUUAGCCUGAACACUGCAAGAGAUAAACACAGCGACCCGGUUUCAGUUCAUUUUCUACCGGAUAAUACUCGGUCUAGAUCAUUGCUCAGCUAUCUGUCCAACAAAAACAACUUAGUCCAAAAUCCUUUGGCGAUGCAAUUUCUUUAUAAUACGCCGAAAUGGUCAAGCAUAUUCCUUUGUUGUGGGAGCUGAAAGAAAUCAAGAACCUAUGUAUACGAAGUAAGCCCUAGGGUUUGAUUUCGUUAUAUUUUGCCAACAGAGUCUUGGAACUGACGGUGUACAUAAGAACUGCUGGUUAAUUAAUGCAUUUGUAUGACAUUGGAGAAAUGUGCACGUGAUGCUUGACAACACCCAUUCAUUCAAAUAUUCAGGAGCAGAACAAAGAUAUGACAAUCAAUUUCUAGAGCAAAGUUGCACACAUAUGCUGGUGUCAUCAUGUAAUCAAG